CUUGGGCGUCUGUGAUUGGCUGGAAGUUGUUGAAGAGUUUUGUAAUAUGUAUACUGUAUAGUGAGAUGGGCCGCAAAGAUGGUUUUCUGUUACAUCCCCAGAAUAAGAGUUUUUGUGUUUUCAAGGUACCUGGUUGUACUUCUAGGCAAGAUAGGAGAGCAAAAUUUUAGUAGUAGUUCUGUGCAACUAGAAUCUGCUACAUAAUGGUUCUCUUUGUGGUGGUGACGAAUCCAAAGAUGUGCAGUCUGAAUUGGGGAUUUAAUCUCCUAAUAUACAGCUGAAACCUCUGAGGGUGAGCAAGUGAUCAAACUCUGCUUGUCACCCAGAAUGGUGUUGAAACUACCCACAAGUGAGACUUCAAUCCCAAGCCCUCUGACAAAGUAUUUAUGGUGCUGAAACUACCUGCGAGUGAAACUUCACGCCCAAACCCUGCUGAUACGAAGUUUCUGGUACUUAAAACUAUCAGCGAGGGAGACUUUAUCCAAAACCCUGCUGACUCCUCCAAGUAUUUGCUGGUGCUGAAGCUACCAGUCAGUUUCAGUUGCGGCAGACAUAAAAAGUGGCACACUCGACAUACCCUCUACUGUUGCUAUAAAAGUGGCUCAAGAACGUGCCUCAAGAGGAACGAACAUUUGAAAACUUCAAGAUAGUAGCAUCCAAAGUAGUAUUUUUUCUAGCAUCCAAUGUAAUAUUUUUUCCAAAGAAACUUUUUCUAGCAUCCAAUGUAAUAUUUUUUCUAAUGUCAAUUUACAAAAUUAGUAAUAAAAUUAUGUAAACUACUGACGGUAUGAUUAUAUUUAACGUUCAUAAGUGUUAAUAGUGUAGAUUGAUGCUAACAUGUUUCCAGUACAAAUA